UAGUUAAAAAUAAAAUCUGAUUCCUCUCAACACUCACUAUUUAGUUCUCAUUUUCCAUCUAGUAUUUAAUGGUCUUUGGAGAGAAAUAAUAAUAAAACAGAGUGUUAUAUAUAUAUAUAUAAAUAUAUAUAUUUUUGGUGCAAGAUGAGACCUUCUGUUUUUUGAAACAAGUCUGUAGCAUAAAGGUUAAACUAUUUUAAGAUGAAAUAAAAUAGAGUGUAUUAUUUAAACAAUAUCAGUUCGUUGGGUUUUUUUACUUCCACUUCCAUCAUGGUUUGUCACAUCUCCGAAUUAAAUCUGUAAAUUCUGUUACAGUUACCGUUACAGUUGGGGGUUACAGGGUUACAGUUGCUGAAAUUCAGCACUGUUUCUUGCUGUAAUGCAUUUAAAUUUUGCACAUCCAGAAUGUUGAAGUGAUUUCCUGGCUGCAAAACCUUCCUUUUAUCUUGGACCAGGGCAGCACCUACACUUCUCCCUGUCAUGUUGGUGCCAGGGGCUGUGCAGGAUGCUGGACCCUGUUGCCUUGGUCAGACCCUGUCUACACAGUCAGCAUCCAUCCCAAUUCAUGGAAAAGAGCAAAAGAAAUCAAAUCAUCUGUAUGGAAUACUGAAAUUAAAUUAACCAGCUGUGAUUUUGAGUAAAGAAACAAGGUAAGAAGCUGAAGGAAAAAAAAAUUCUCAGGAAGGCAGAAAAUAAAGCAGCAAAAUAACCCAAGAUUAAAUGUCAGUGUAAAAAAUCUCAAAUAAAGCCCUUCCAGUUCUGAGUCCCCACUUGGGUUUGGGUUGCUGUUGCUCCCAGGCAUGGUACAAAGGUAUUUGCUGUAGAGAUUUCCCCUCCUUUUUCACCCUUUCUCUAUCCACGUUGCCUUGAGUUCUUUUCACCAUCACUUUUCCCUGGAGGUUCUCCAGUGCUGUUGCCCCAAGCCCUUUGUGCCUCC
rnacentral:lncRNA from 1 species